rnacentral:lncRNA from 1 species
UGGACCGUCAGAGGAGGGUGUGGACGCUGAGACUCAAAAGCAGGAGCUGACAGAGAAGAACCAAGUAUGAUGGCGAGUGUGCUAGAAAGGUUCCUGGCGCAAGAGUGAGGAGAUCAGGGUCCCAUCAUCGGGACAUUGUAGCUCUUCAUGCAGAUGACGGACCCCAUGGCGUCGGGUGGCUGAGAGGAUGCAGCUUCUCAGGACUCUGCACCGGAUGGCUGAUAGAUGGGAAGCAUUUCCGGUGUGAGGACCUUCCAGCGCUUCGCGGGUGCCACAGAAAGCUGACGCGAUACGGCGACCAUGACGACAUUGUAAUAGAGACAGACGUGGCCUCGCGAGAAGAGCAGGGACGCGGGAGAUGACACAGGGAACGGCUCUCUCUGAGCCCCAGUUGCCCCCUCUGUUAAACGGGAUGAGAAUGCUCAAACCCCAGGAUCGCUGUGAGCGUUCAGUGACAACACGUGAGUAAGCCCAUGGCCCUGUGGUUACUGCGGGACCGUGAGUGUCUGCAUGAAUUCCGGCCACUUGUUAUUGUUUUCAACUUUGUCGUUAGGGGAUAGAGGAGGAAAAGAGAGAAAAAAGACCCUGAUGACAGCCCGUUGUACUUUCUGGGUGUUAUGAUCACUACCCACUUGUAUCAGUGUCAUUGUCACUAUCCCGGUGCCUAGCCUGGUGCGGGGCACACUGUUACUCCAGGAAAGCAGAGUGAUUGCUGGAUCUGUCUCUCCCUGUGCAGCUCUUCAUGCCGCUGGCCGAGCUCCUAUCAGGCGUCUGAAGGAGGCAGCUUCUGAGGAUCUGUGUCUCCAUGACUGCUGAACCAUCUGCUCCAGAUUCAAGGGCAGCCGUCCUCAGGAGACCCCGACACUUCACAUCCCUGCUUGGAUAUGAGGCCUGGUCCGAUGGACCGUCAGAGGAGGGUGUGGACUCUGAGCCUCAGAAGCAGGAGCUGACAGAGAAGAACCAAGUGUGCUUGCGCGUGUGCAGACAGGUUCCUGGAGCAAGAGUGAGGAGAUCAGGGUCCCAUCACUGGGACACUUUAGGUAAGUCGCUCCUCUUCCACCAGUCCUGUCUAUACAGCAGGAUGACGGUACCCAUUGCUGCCGGCCACCCAGGAAUCCUCUGGAGUUUGAGUGUGAUCCCAUGUGGGAAAGCAAUCUGUGCUCGUAGGUGGGAGGAAGGACCAGUGCACUUUCAAGGAAUUACAUUAACAGAGACACCCCAGAUAUCGCGGAACUCUGUGUGGCAGACAUCAAAUUAA